GAUGAACGCUGGCGGCGUGCUUAACACAUGCAAGUCGAACGGAAAGGCCCUGCUUGCAGGGUACUCGAGUGGCGAACGGGUGAGUAACACGUGGGUGAUCUGCCCUGCACUUCGGGUUAAGCCUGGGAAACUGGGCCUAAUACCGGAUAGGAGCCAUUUUUAGUGUGAUGGUUGGAAAGUUUUUUCGGUGUAGGAUGAGCUGGCGGCCUAUCAGCUUGUUGGUGGGGUAAUGGCCUACCAAGGCGGCGACGUGUAGCCGGCCUGAGAGGGUGGACGGCCACAUUGGGACUGAGGGGCGGCCCAGACUCCUACGGGAGGCAGCAGGGGGGAAUAUUGCACAAUGGGCGCAAGCCUGAUGCAGCAACGCCGCGUGUGGGAUGACGGCCUUCGGGGUGUAAACUCCUUGCGCUAGGGACGAAGCUUUUUGUGACGGUACCUAGAUAAGAAGCACCGGCUAACUACGUG
rnacentral:rRNA from 1 species